AAAGAGUUUGAUUCUUGCUUAUUUAUUAAUUUAUUAAAUAUUUUUAUAUGCGUAUUUAUAUUAAUUAAACAUUAAGCAGUAAUUAAUUUUAAUAUUAAUUUUUAUUUUUAUUUAGUAAUUUAAUUAAAAUAGAUUAAUAUUGUGCCAGCAUUCGCGGUUAAACAAUAUAUUUAACUUAAUAAUUUUGGUUAAUUGUAAUAUUUUUAUUUAAUGAAUUUAUUAUAUAUAUAUUUAGGUGGAAUUUAUAUAUUUAUUAUAUUUCUAAAUUUAAAUUUACGAAACCUUUUUAAUAAACUAGGAUUAGAUACCCUAUUAUUAAAGAUUUAAAUUGAUUCCUGAAUAUUAAUAGUUAUGUUCUAUAAAACUCAAAGAAUUUGGCGGUAAUUUAUUUCUAUUUAGAGGAACCUGUAUUAUAAUUGAUAAACCACGAUAGAAAAUACCUUUAUUUUUGUUUGUAUACCUCUAUACUUAGGAAUAUUUUUUUAGGAGUUUAUUUUCUUUUUCUUUUAAAGAUAAAUAUUAGGUCAAGGUGCAGUUUUAUAAAGGUAAAUAUGGGUUACAUUAUUUAUUGUAAAACUUGGAUUUGAAAAAUAUAUUUUUAAUGAAAUAGGAUUUAAUAGUAAUUUUAAUAAAUUAAUUAUUUUGAAUAAAGUUCUAUAUUGUGCACAUAUCGCCCGUCACUCCUAAUUACUUAGGAUAAGUCGUAACAUAGUAGUUGUACCUGAAGGUGUAGCUAAGUUGAUGUUUG
rnacentral:ncRNA from 1 species